AGAUGAAUGCCUCCAAUAAUAAUCGCGGGUCAAAUAACUUUGUGCUUCAACCCGACUCCUCAGUCUCACUCUCUCAACGACAAAACCAGAGUUCUUGUCUUGACUUCUCCGACCAAAAUCCAGUUCUCCAACCCGACUCCUAGUCUCCACCAUUGACGCUUGAAACUGACCUCAGAUUGCACGAUUGUCGCAACACAAACUCUAGCUCUUCUUUUCCUUUAUCUCACAAAAAUUGUAGUGCUCUAUGGUACCGGCCUCCCUUGGAGUUUUCGCGGCAAAAGUUGGAGACAUGGAAGCACAGAAACACAUCUAGACUAGAAUUGACGGAAAUAUGAGAUGGAGGACCUCACCACUGAAGACCAGUCUCAGAAAUUGGGAUGUUCCCUGUUGGAAUUCUGAUCCUAUUUUCCACCACUCAUCGAAUUCUAAUCCUAUUAUCCACCUAUGAAUAAUGUGGUAGUUUUACAGUGAGGUAUCAUAAAGUUCAUGAAGCAAGAUUAAAUCCUUCACUUCAGCACUCUAAAUGAUUACAUGUCUGAAAGGUGAUCCGGAAGAUCAAGGCUUGCCAAAAUACACUUCUUUGUUUAAUUGCAUUGCUGGCAUAUGCCUCAUGUUUACUGGGAGCUCAUUUUUUCUGUGGGCUAAAAGGAAAGGAAGGUUCCCUCGACUGUUUAUGACUUUGCAAAGGAAUUUGAUUGAGAGAGGCAUAUUCAUAGUUAGACGAAUGUUGGAAGGAAUGAAAUCAUUACACGAAUGUUGUAUUAUAUAUCCAGCAGGGAUUCCAUUAUAAAAGGCUUUAGUUAAUGUUAAUUUUGAAUACUGGUCUUGUUCCGGUGGUUUGAUGAAAUGAAACUAUGUUUAUCUUAUUGGUCCCUAUCUUUUUAAUUCAAUCCCGUUCCCUUGUUGGUGUUUCUGGUUAAAUUUCCUAAAGUUCAUCUUGAGUUGGAACUAAUUGAAUCUUUGUAGCUUCAACUAUGUAUGUAACAAUGA